rnacentral:rRNA from 1 species
UACGAAGGGGGCAAGCGUUGUUCGGAAUUACUGGGCGUAAAGGGCGCGUAGGCGGCCACUGCAAGUCGGUUGUGAAAUCUCCGGGCUUAACCCGGAAAGGUCAAUCGAUACUGCAGGGCUAGAGUGCAGAAGGGGCAACUGGAAUUCUCGGUGUAGCGGUGAAAUGCGUAGAUAUCGAGAGGAACACCUGCGGCGAAGGCGGGUUGCUGGGCUGACACUGACGCUGAAGCGCGAAAGCUAGGGGAGCGAACGGG